rnacentral:rRNA from 1 species
GAGGCGCUGCAUGGCUGUCGUCAGCUCGUGUCGUGAGAUGUUGGGUUAAGUCUCGCAACGAGCGCAACCCCUAUUUUUAGUUGCCAGCAUUAGGUUGGGCACUCUAGAGAGACUGCCCGGGCCAACCGGGAGGAAGGUGGGGAUGACGUCAAGUCCUCAUGGCCCUUAUGUCUAGGGCUACACACGUAAUACAAUGGUUAAUACAAAGGGAUGCAAACUCGCGAGGGGGAGCAAAUCUCAAAAAGUUAAUCUCAGUCCGGAUUGGAGUCUGCAACUCGACUCCAUGAAGUUGGAAUCGCUAGUAAUCGUGGAUCAGCACGCCACGGUGAAUACGUUCCCGGGCCUUGUACACACCGCCCGUCACACCAUGGGAGUUGGUUUUACCUGAAGUCGUGACC